rnacentral:rRNA from 1 species
AUUGAACGCUGGCGGCAGGCUUAACACAUGCAAGUCGAGCGGAGAUGAGGUGCUUGCACCUUAUCUUAGCGGCGGACGGGUGAGUAAUGCUUAGGAAUCUGCCUAUUAGUGGGGGACAACAUUCCGAAAGGAAUGCUAAUACCGCAUACGUCCUACGGGAGAAAGCAGGGGAUCUUCGGACCUUGCGCUAAUAGAUGAGCCUAAGUCGGAUUAGCUAGUUGGUGGGGUAAAGGCCUACCAAGGCGACGAUCUGUAGCGGGUCUGAGAGGAUGAUCCGCCACACUGGGACUGAGACACGGCCCAGACUCCUACGGGAGGCAGCAGUGGGGAAUAUUGGACAAUGGGGGGAACCCUGAUCCAGCCACGCCGCGUGUGGGAAGAAGGCCUUAUGGUUGUAAAGCACUUUAAGCGAGGAGGAGGCUACUGAGACUAAUACUCUUGGAUAGUGGACGUUACUCGCAGAAUAAGCACCGGCUAACUCUGUGCCAGCCGCCGCGGUAACAC